GUCGUGAGGUCAUGUCAAAGGUCAAAGGUGAAACGGCUUUAUGGAGACACGCACGACAAACAAAUCAAGACAGCAAAGACAAUGAUAGUUACAGCAAACAUAGCUAACUUGGUUUUGGUCAGAAGGUAACUAACGUAUCAAUCUUUUGUAGGAACAACAGCUGGGCGGUGACGGUAGUAGUUUACUAAUAGUUCAGUUGUUAGCGGCGCGAACCGUGGAAGCUAACGGCUAACAGCCGCAAUGCUAACGUUCGGUUAGCCACAGCCCAAGGAGGAAUGGAGGGUGACGACCAGCCACGCUUUUCCCCCAAACGAGGGAAAGGGUGCGGCACACGAACCCCGUGGAGGCCGUCACCUGGACGGGCCCGAGGCAACCGGCUGGUUCAGGUCGAUGUGUCAGGGGAGGAUUUGUCUGUACAACUGGAAAGAGCCACUCUUCAGAGCACUUUAAGUUUUGACAUCAACCUUCUCUAAGAUGCACUUCUUGGCUGUGGCUUUGGUGUAUGCUGCUGCAGACUCCUCCAAAGACUCUGACACGCUGUUCGCUGCUGAGAUGAAAAAGCAAUGGUGUUACUGGGAUCAUCAAAUUCAGUCUCUACACACCUGAACAAUACCAAUCACCAAUACCAACAGUUGCAGGCAGCUUGUUACCCACCCUGAGCCUGGUUCUGCUGAAAAAAAGGAGGUCUUAACUGGCACCUAGUUCCUGCUUGACAGGAUUUUUCUUUGGAAUUGUGUGAACCACCCCCUCCUAUGUUAGUGCCCUGACAUGCUUUUUGUUUUGUUGUGAAUUUGUAUGUAACAGGAAUUUAUUUGAAAAAAAAAAACAACUAUGCAGGAUAACUCAUUACAGUUAUACAGGCUGGUCCUGAUAACCGGCAGUACCAGCGUGUAACACUAAAUGCAGAAGCUAUGUAAAGUCUUUUCAUUGUCACUGUAGACAUCAGACACGACAACUGUAGUAAACCAUACUGUUAUGUCAGUGACAUUUGAAUGUGAAUAAACUGUUUAUCUGC